ACCCAGUGUGAUUCGUCACACUAUCAUUAACUGAAUCCAUAGGUUAAUGAGGCGAACCGGGGGAACUGAAACAUCUAAGUACCCCGAGGAAAAGAAAUCAACCGAGAUUCCCCCAGUAGCGGCGAGCGAACGGGGAGGAGCCCAGAGCCUGAAUCAGCAUGUGUGUUAGUGGAAGCGUCUGGAAAGGCGCGCGAUACAGGGUGACAGCCCCGUACACAAAAGCGUAUGUGCUGUGAGCUCGAUGAGUAGGGCGGGACACGUGGUAUCCUGUCUGAAUAUGGGGGGACCAUCCUCCAAGGCUAAAUACUCCUGACUGACCGAUAGUGAACCAGUACCGUGAGGGAAAGGCGAAAAGAACCCCGGCGAGGGGAGUGAAAAAGAACCUGAAACCGUGUACGUACAAGCAGUGGGAGCACAGGUUUACCUGUGUGACUGCGUACCUUUUGUAUAAUGGGUCAGCGACUUAUAUUCUGUAGCAAGGUUAACCGCAUAGGGGAGCCGGAGGGAAACCGAGUCUUAAUUGGGCGUUAAGUUGCAGGGUAUAGACCCGAAACCCGGUGAUCUAGCCAUGGGCAGGUUGAAGGUUGGGUAACACUAACUGGAGGACCGAACCGACUAAUGUUGAAAAAUUAGCGGAUGACCUGUGGCUGGGGGUGAAAGGCCAAUCAAACCGGGAGAUAGCUGGUUCUCCCCGAAAGCUAUUUAGGUAGCGCCUCGUGAAUUCAUCUCCGGGGGUAGAGCACUGUUUCGGCUAGGGGGCCAUCCCGGCUUACCAACCCGAUGCAAACUGCGAAUACCGGAGAAUGUUAUCACGGGAGACACACGGCGGGUGCUAACGUCCGUCGUGAAGAGGGAAACAACCCAGACCGCCAGCUAAGGUCCCAAAGUCAUGGUUAAGUGGGAAACGAUGUGGGAAGGCCCAGACAGCCAGGAUGUUGGCUUAGAAGCAGCCAUCAUUUAAAGAAAGCGUAAUAGCUCACUGGUCGAGUCGGCCUGCGCGGAAGAUGUAACGGGGCUAAACCAUGCACCGAAGCUGCGGCAGCGACACUAUGUGUUGUUGGGUAGGGGAGCGUUCUGUAAGCCUGUGAAGGUGUGUCGUGAGGCAUGCUGGAGGUAUCAGAAGUGCGAAUGCUGACAUAAGUAACGAUAAAGCGGGUGAAAAGCCCGCUCGCCGGAAGACCAAGGGUUCCUGUCCAACGUUAAUCGGGGCAGGGUGAGUCGACCCCUAAGGCGAGGCCGAAAGGCGUAGUCGAUGGGAAACGGGUUAAUAUUCCCGUACUUGGUGUUACUGCGAAGGGGGGACGGAGAAGGCUAUGUUGGCCGGGCGACGGUUGUCCCGGUUUAAGCGUGUAGGUGUGUGUUCCAGGUAAAUCCGGUUCACUUUAACACUGAGGCGUGACGACGAGGCACUACGGUGCUGAAGCAACAAAUGCCCUGCUUCCAGGAAAAGCCUCUAAGCAUCAGGUAACAUCAAAUCGUACCCCAAACCGACACAGGUGGUCAGGUAGAGAAUACCAAGGCGCUUGAGAGAACUCGGGUGAAGGAACUAGGCAAAAUGGUGCCGUAACUUCGGGAGAAGGCACGCUGACACGUAGGUGAAGUGAUUUACUCAUGGAGCUGAAGUCAGUCGAAGAUACCAGCUGGCUGCAACUGUUUAUUAAAAACACAGCACUGUGCAAACACGAAAGUGGACGUAUACGGUGUGACGCCUGCCCGGUGCCGGAAGGUUAAUUGAUGGGGUCAGCGCAAGCGAAGCUCCUGAUCGAAGCCCCGGUAAACGGCGGCCGUAACUAUAACGGUCCUAAGGUAGCGAAAUUCCUUGUCGGGUAAGUUCCGACCUGCACGAAUGGCGUAAUGAUGGCCAGGCUGUCUCCACCCGAGACUCAGUGAAAUUGAACUCGCUGUGAAGAUGCAGUGUACCCGCGGCAAGACGGAAAGACCCCGUGAACCUUUACUAUAGCUUGACACUGAACAUUGAGCCUUGAUGUGUAGGAUAGGUGGGAGGCUUUGAAGUGUGGACGCCAGUCUGCAUGGAGCCGACCUUGAAAUACCACCCUUUAAUGUUUGAUGUUCUAACGUGGACCCGUUACCCGGGUUGCGGACAGUGUCUGGUGGGUAGUUUGACUGGGGCGGUCUCCUCCUAAAGAGUAACGGAGGAGCACGAAGGUUGGCUAAUCCUGGUCGGACAUCAGGAGGUUAGUGCAAUGGCAUAAGCCAGCUUGACUGCGAGCGUGACGGCGCGAGCAGGUGCGAAAGCAGGUCAUAGUGAUCCGGUGGUUCUGAAUGGAAGGGCCAUCGCUCAACGGAUAAAAGGUACUCCGGGGAUAACAGGCUGAUACCGCCCAAGAGUUCAUAUCGACGGCGGUGUUUGGCACCUCGAUGUCGGCUCAUCACAUCCUGGGGCUGAAGUAGGUCCCAAGGGUAUGGCUGUUCGCCAUUUAAAGUGGUACGCGAGCUGGGUUUAGAACGUCGUGAGACAGUUCGGUCCCUAUCUGCCGUGGGCGCUGGAGAACUGAGGGGGGCUGCUCCUAGUACGAGAGGACCGGAGUGGACGCAUCACUGGUGUUCGGGUUGUCAUGCCAAUGGCACUGCCCGGUAGCUAAAUGCGGAAGAGAUAAGUGCUGAAAGCAUCUAAGCACGAAACUUGCCCCGAGAUGAGUUCUCCCUGAGACUUAGAGUCUCCUGAAGGAACGUUGAAGACGACGACGUUGAUAGGCCGGGUGUGUAAGCGCAGCGAUGCGUUGAGCUAACCGGUACUAAUGAACCGUGAGGCUUAACC
rnacentral:rRNA from 1 species